AGAUUGAACGCUGGCGGCAGGCCUAACACAUGCAAGUCGAGCGGUAGAGAGGUGCUUGCACCUCUUGAGAGCGGCGGACGGGUGAGUAAAGCCUAGGAAUCUGCCUGGUAGUGGGGGAUAACGCUCGGAAACGGACGCUAAUACCGCAUACGUCCUACGGGAGAAAGCAGGGGACCUUCGGGCCUUGCGCUAUCAGAUGAGCCUAGGUCGGAUUAGCUAGUUGGUGAGGUAAUGGCUCACCAAGGGCGACGAUCCGUAACUGGUCUGAGAGGAUGAUCAGUCACACUGGAACUGAGACACGGUCCAGACU
rnacentral:rRNA from 1 species